GUUUUCGUGGCGUAGUGGUCAGCACGCUCGACGCAUAUUCGAGAGGUCUGUGGUUCGAGUCCCGGCGAGAGCA
rnacentral:tRNA from 1 species